UUCAUUCUACAAAUAUUUAUUAAAGCCCAACUGUGUGCCAGCCACCAGGCAUAGAAUAGGGAACAAAAUAGUUUCCCUGCAACUAUAUAAAAAGAAUGGCAUAUUGUACUUAAAUGCCUCCUUGCCAAAAUAAGAGGCACAGGACAACAGCUGUCUGGAGAUGACCUCAAGCCAGUCAGGCCCCAUUUUAAAUAUAGAAACCCCUAAGAAUAGCCGCCAGUGCUCCAGACUCAACAGGUGAUUGGCCCAGAGAGGGGAGGUGACCCCAGGCCCCAGGAAAGGGAGCGAGGACAGCGCUGGUUCCCGGCUCCCCGCACCAUCAUGGCUUUGCCUCUGAGGCCCCUGACCCGGGGCUUGGCCAGCGCUGCCAAAGGAGGCCACGGAGGAGCAGGAGGUGAGUGGGGAACGGGCGGAUCCGGGGGCUCCCCUACCCUGCCCACCUGUUCACAGGCCCGCCGCCCCAGGACCGCCGCGCUCACCCCGCUCCGUCCGCAGCUCGUACCUGGCGUCUGCUGACCUUCGUGCUGGCGCUGCCCAGCGUGGCCCUCUGCACCUUCAACUCCUAUCUCCACUCGGGCCACCGCCCGCGCCCCGAGUUCCGUCCCUACCAACACCUCCGCAUCCGCACCAAGCCCUACCCCUGGGGGGACGGCAACCACACUCUGUUCCACAAUAGCCACGUGAACCCUCUGCCCACGGGCUACGAACACCCCU
rnacentral:lncRNA from 1 species